CAAGUGGAGCGCAGAUACACUGUAUUCAGAGACAGCGCUCAUUUAAUCAGUGCAACCUGAUAUUUUAACCUGCUUUGACCUGUGCUACAAACUCACCGGCCCGGGGACUGGAACACGAGGCAACUUUGGCCUACACACACACACACACACACACACACACACACUAUUAAUACAGACACACACACACACACACACACACACACACACACACACACACACUAUUAAUACAGACACACACACACACACACACACACACACACACACACUAUUAAUACAGACACACACACACACACACACACACACACAGGCUACUAAUACAGAGACACAGACACACACACAGGCUUCUAAUACUGAGACAGACAGACACACACACACACACACCACACACACACUAUUAAUACAGACACACACACACACACACACACACAGGCCACUAAUACAGACACACACACACACACACACACACACGCAGCUACUAUACACACACAG
ensembl:lncRNA